rnacentral:rRNA from 1 species
UGGGGAAUAUUGCACAAUGGGGGAAACCCUGAUGCAGCGACGCCGCGUGAGCGAAGAAGUAUCUCGGUAUGUAAAGCUCUAUCAGCAGGGAAGAAAAUGACGGUACCUGACUAAGAAGCCCCGGCUAACUACGUGCCAGCAGCCGCGGUAAUACGUAGGGGGCAAGCGUUAUCCGGAUUUACUGGGUGUAAAGGGAGCGUAGACGGAGCAGCAAGUCUGAUGUGAAAGGCGGGGGCUCAACCCCUGGACUGCAUUGGAAACUGUUGAUCUUGAGUACCGGAGAGGUAAGCGGAAUUCCUAGUGUAGCGGUGAAAUGCGUAGAUAUUAGGAGGAACACCGGUGGCGAAGGCGGCCAACUGGGCUUUAACUGACGCUGAGGCUCGAAAGUGUGGGGAGCAAACAGGAUUAGAUACCC